rnacentral:rRNA from 1 species
AGGUUCGAUUCUGGCUCAGAUUGAACGCUGGCGGGAUGCGCUACACAUGCAAGUCGAACGGCAGCACGGACUUCGGUCUGGUGGCGAGUGGCGAACGGGUGGUAAUGUAUCGGAACGUGCCUAGUAGCGGGGGAUAACUACGCGAAAGCGUAGCUAAUACCACAUACGCCCUUCGGGGAAAGCGGGGACCUUCGGGCCUCGCACUAUUAAGAGCGGCGAUAUCAGUUAGCUAGUUGGUGGGGUAACGGCUCACCGAGGCGACGAUCCGUAGCUGGUUUGAGGCGACCAGCCACACUGGGACUGAGACACGGCCCGGAACUCUACGGAGGCAACGGUGAAUUUUGGACAAUGGGGGAAACCUGAUCCAGCCAUCCCGCGUGUGCGAUGAAGGCCUUCGGGUUGUAAAGCACUUUUGGCGGGAAAGAAACGGCACGGAUAAUACCCCGUGCAACUGACCAGCCUGCAGAAUAAGCACCGGCUAACUACGUGCCAGCAGCCGCGGUAAUACGUGGGUGCAAGCGUUAAUCGGAAUUACUGGGCGUAAAGCGUGCGCAGGCGGUUCGGAAAGAAAAGAUGUGAAAUCCCAGAGCUUAACUUUGGAACUGCAUUUUUUAACUACCGAGCUAGAGAGUGUGUCAGAGGAGGUGGAAUUCCGCGUGGCAGUGAAAUGCGUAGAUAUGGAGGAACACCGAUGGCGAAGGCAGCCUCCUGGGAUAACACUGACGCUCAUGCACGAAAGCGUGGAGCAGAAACAGGAUUAGAUACCCUGGUAGUCCCGCCCUAAAACGUCAACUAGCUGUUGGGGCCUUCGGGCCUUGGUAAGCCACAACUAACGCGUGAAGUUGACCGCCUGGGAAAUGCACGGUCACCAAGAUUAAAACUCAAAGGAAUUGACGGGGACCCGCACAAGCGGUGGAUGAUGGACAAUUCGAUGCAACGCGAAAAACCUUACCUACCCUUGACAUGUCUGGAAUCCCGAAGAGAUUUGGGAGUGCUCGCAAAGAGAACCGGAACACAGGUGCUGCAUGGCUAUCGUCAGCUCGUGUCGUGAGAUGUUAGGGUUAAGUCCACGCAACAGUACAACCCUUGUCAUUAGUUGCUACGAAAGGGCACUCUAAUGAGACUGCCGGUGACAAACCGGAGGAAGGUGGGGAUGACGUCAAGUCCUCAUGGCCCUUAUGGGUAGGGCUUCACACGUCAUACAAUGGUCGGGACAGAGGGUCGCCAACCGCGAGGGUAAUCCCAGAAACCCGAUCGUAGUCCGGAUCGCAGUCUGCAACUCGACUGCGUGAAGUCCGGAAUCGCUAGUAAUCGCGGAUCAGCAUGUCGCGGUGAUCCAGUUCCCGGGUCUUGUACACACCGCCCGUCACACCGUAGGAGUGGGUUUUACCAGAAAUCAGAUUGGCUUCUAACCGUAAGGAGGCGAUUACAAUAGGAUUCAUGACUGGGGUGAAGUCAUGGCAAGGUAG